rnacentral:tRNA from 1 species
UUUCUGAUGGUCUAGUGGCUAAGACUCUGUACUACCAAGGCAGGGGACCAGGGUUCGAUCCUUGGUCAGGGAA